rnacentral:pre_miRNA from 12 species
CCCAAAGCCACAUGCUUCUUUAUAUCCCCAUAUGGAUUACUUUGCUAUGGAAUGUAAGGAAGUGUGUGGUUUUGUC